rnacentral:misc_RNA from 1 species
AAGUCGUAACAAGGUAACCGUAGGUGAACCUGCGGUUGGAUCAUUACCAAAAUGGGUGUGUUGAAAAUUAAUCUUUUUUUUCACCCAUUCAAUAUGCAAAAUUAGGGGGGAUGGAUAAAAAUCAUUCCCCUUCUUUUUGACACCUUUUGUGAACCUAUUUUAAACACCCUGUAUUUGGCAGUUUGGCGAAACUGUAACAAGACGCCUAUAAAAGCGGGCUGCCAAAACACCACUUUAAAAAAACACCUAUUAUUUUUUCUUUUUAACUUUUUAAGUGUUCUGGCUUCGUUUUUUCUCAAAGGACCCCCCCCCCUAUUUUUUAAAUAUAACAGGGGCCCUAAAGAGUUCUUCCGAGACCAUGAUAAUUAACCUAAAUUAAAAAACAACUUUUGACAACGGAUCUCUUGGCUCUU